GCAGCCGACUCACUCCCGCUGCUCAUGGCGCGGCUCUGGGCGUCUGUAGACCUCAAUGUACGGUGACGCGAAAAAAUCUGCAGGACUGGGUUGCGACUGCGCGGGAACUGCACUGAUUGGUCUCUGGGUCAGGUGGGGCAACCCACAGCAGCGUCAUACACAGAGACUCGAACACGGCUGGGUUACUUAGUCAGGUUCUAAACUUAAGGUGACUGGUGUGUGGUCGGCCUGCCUCUCGGCUAAGCCACACAUGAGAUUCAAGUAGAGCGGCUAAGUAUGUAGAACUGUUUGUAGAGGACUGACGGACGGGGGUUCGACUCCCCCCGGCUCCACCA
rnacentral:tmRNA from 1 species